rnacentral:rRNA from 1 species
GCGAAAACUUUGCAAUGCUGGCAAUAGCGAUAAGGGAACCUCGAGUGCCAGGUUACAAAUCUGGCUGUCGAGAUGCCUAAAAAGCAUUUCAUAGCAAGGGCCGGGCAAGACCGGUGCCAGCCGCCGCGGUAACACCGGCGGCUCGAGUGGUAACCGUUAUUAUUGGGUCUAAAGGGUCUGUAGCCGGCCGGAUAAGUCUCUUGAGAAACCUGGCAGCUUAACUGUCAGGCUUUCAGGAGAUACUGUCUGGCUCGAGGCCGGGAGAGGUGAGAGGUACUUCAGGGGUAGGGGUGAAAUCUUGUAAUCCUUGAAGGACCACCAGUGGCGAAGGCGUCUCACCAGAACGGACCUGACGGCAAGGGACGAAAGCUAGGGGCACGAACC